CAGGCUGCCAAGUUGACUGGCCCCUCCAAGCUUCUGUCCUCUCCUGCCGAAUGGAGGCUCCCAGAAAGAAGAACCCCUGGGAGUCUGAGAAGGACAAAUCAGGAGGGCUUCCUGCAGAAGGAUGCUUCCUAUAAGCUAGACCAUAAGUCAGAAAUGAAGACUUGGGGAGGGAAGGCUCUCCCAGACAGGCGGGCCACCCCCAGUCCACGGGCCAGGACUGGGCUCAGGCCCCUCAUCAGUGCGCCCGUGUCAUCCACCAUCACACCUCUCCUUGAGCCCGGAGCCCCUGGAGGCACAGGCCACGGGACGUGUCAGGCCCAGACCCCGGCCUGGGGCUCAGCACGGAAAAACGAAGUCAUGUUGGAGAAUUUAUCUGCAUUAAGAACAGGCUCCUUUA